rnacentral:rRNA from 1 species
CCAGACUCCUACGGGAGGCAGCAGUGGGGAAUAUUGCACAAUGGGGGAAACCCUGAUGCAGCGACGCCGCGUGAAGGAAGAAGUAUCUCGGUAUGUAAACUUCUAUCAGCAGGGAAGAAAACAGACGGUACCUGACUAAGAAGCCCCGGCCAACUACGUGCCAGCAGCCGCGGUAAUACGUAGGGGGCAAGCGUUAUCCGGAUUUACUGGGUGUAAAGGGGGCGCAGACGGCCAUGGCAAGCCCGGUGUGAAAGGCAGGGGCAUAACCCCUGGACUGCACUGGGAACUGUUAGGCUGGAGUGCCGGAGAGGUAGGCGGAAUUCCUAGUGUAGCGGUGAAAUGCGUAGAUAUUAGGAGGAACACCAGUGGCGAAGGCGGCCUACUGGACGGUGACUGACGCUGAGGCCCGAAGGCGUGGGGAGCAAACAGGAUUAGAUACCCGAGUA